rnacentral:rRNA from 25 species
AAACUUGAGAGUUUGAUCAUGGCUCAGAACGUACGCUGGCGGCACGCCUAACACAUGCAAGUCGAACGAAGUAGCAAUACUUAGUGGCAGACGGGUGAGUAACAUGUGGGUAUCUGCCCUUUGGCCUGGAAUAACACGAGGAAACUUGUGCUAAUACUGGAUAAGUCUUUACGGAGAAAGCUUUAUGCACCAUUGGAUGAGCCCGCACUUGAUUAGUUUGUUGGUGGGGUAAUGGCCUACCAAGACUUUGAUCAAUAGCUGAUUUGAGAGGAUGAUCAGCCACAUUGGGACUGAGACACGGCCCAAACUCCUACGGGAGGCAGCAGUGGGGAAUCUUGCACAAUGGAGGAAACUCUGAUGCAGCGAUGCCGCGUGAGUGAAGAAGGCCCUUGGGUUGUAAAGCUCUUUCGUCGGGGAAGAAAAUGACUGUACCCGAAUAAGAAGGUCCGGCUAACUUCGUGCCAGCAGCCGCGGUAAUACGAAGGGACCUAGCGUAGUUCGGAAUUACUGGGCUUAAAGAGUUCGUAGGUGGUUGAAAAAGUUGGUGGUGAAAUCCCAGAGCUUAACUCUGGAACUGCCAUCAAAACUUUUCAGCUAGAGUUUGAUAGAGGAAAGCAGAAUUUCUAGUGUAGAGGUGAAAUUCGUAGAUAUUAGAAAGAAUACCAAUUGCGAAGGCAGCUUUCUGGAUCAUUACUGACGCUGAGGAACGAAAGCAUGGGUAGCGAAGAGGAUUAGAUACCCUCGUAGUCCAUGCCGUAAAAGAUGUGUGUUAGACGUUGGAAAUUUAUUUUCAGUGUCGCAGCGAAAGCGAUAAACACACCGCCUGGGGAGUACGACCGCAAGGUUAAAACUCAAAUGAAUUGACGGGGACCCGCACAAGUAGUGGAGCAUGUGGUUUAAUUCGAAGAUACGCGCAGAACCUUACCAACACUUGACAUGUUCGUCGCAACUUUAAGAGAUUAAAGUUUUCGGUUCGGCCGGACGAAACACAGGUGCUGCAUGGCUGUCGUCAGCUCGUGUCGUGAGAUGUUGGGUUAAGUCCCGCAACGAGCGCAACCCUCACUUUUAGUUGCCAUCAUUAAGUUGGGCACUCUGAAAGAACUGCCAGUGAUAAGCUGGAGGAAGGUGGGGAUGACGUCAAGUCCUCAUGGCCCUUACGUGUUGGGCUACACACGUGCUACAAUGGUAUCUACAACAGGAAGCGAAACAGCGAUGUUAAGCAAAUCCUUAAAAGAUACCUCAGUUCGGAUUGCACUCUGCAACUCGAGUGCAUGAAGCUGGAAUUACUAGUAAUCGUGGAUCAGCGUGCCACGGUGAAUGCGUUCCCGGGUCUUGUACACACCGCCCGUCACACCAUGGGAGUUGGUUCUACCUUAAGGCAAGGUUUAAUACCCUUGACCACGGUAUAGUCAGCGACUGGGGUGAAGUCGUAACAAGGUAGCCGUAGGGGAACCUGCGGCUGGAUUACCUCCUUU